rnacentral:lncRNA from 1 species
UUCUUCAACCACUUAAUAAAGUGUUGAUCUUUCCUUUUGUCUACGCCACUUGUGGAUAUACCUGGGAAUGUUUCUUCGACUUGAGAAACAAAUAGGCUGUAAAAUCACAUUUUAUAUUAAUUAAUCUUUGGCAAUUAUAUAAUUUAUACUUAUAGGUGUUUAGAAGUGUCCAUAUAUGUUACCUUUCAAAAUAACGCAUCAAUGGAUCCUCGCAAUUGGUAGAAUAUAGGUGUGUGCACUAUGAGCGUCUUCUUCACUCGACCACCAAACCUCUUUUAAUUUCCCACCAAGUCGUCCAAUCUGGCUAAAAAUGUCUGGAACACCAGCAACUGCAUAUGUUGGCGCGACACCACCAUCAUCAUAUCUUCUUGGAGCUCUUUUCCGGGUACGUACUUUUGACGCAAAGUAGUACGAUGUGAAGUGAGAAGUUUCUUCCGUCAAACUUCUAGCAAUUAUAGAACCUUCAACUUUUGCGAGGUUCUUUGCUUUUCCCUUCAAAUAUGUCAUGGCUC